rnacentral:rRNA from 1 species
AACGAACGCUGGCGGCGUGCCUUACACAUGCAAGUCGAACGAGAAAGUUCUUCGGAACGAGUACAGUGGCGCACGGGUGAGUAAUACUUGGGAACGUACCGAUAGGUGGGGGAUAACCAAUGGAAACGUUGGCUAAUACCGCAUACGAUCGAAAGAUUAAAGGUGGCCUCUAUUUAUAAGCUAUCGCCAAUUGAUCGGCCCAAGUCCCAUUAGCUAGUUGGUAGGGUAAUGGCCUACCAAGGCACGAUGGGUAGCUGGUCUUAGAGGACGAUCAGCCACACUGGGACUGAGACACGGCCCAGACUCCUACGGGAGGCAGCAGUGGGGAAUUUUGCACAAUGGGCGCAAGCCUGAUGCAGCAACGCCGCGUGAGUGAAGAAGGCCCUUGGGUUGUAAAGCUCUUUCGGCCGGGAAGAAGGGUCUUAUGGCUAAUAUCCAUAGAAUCUGACGGUACCGGAAUAAGAAGCACCGGCUAACUCCGUGCCAGCCGCCG